GUUCAGUUUCACACAGCGUUAACUCAAGUGCGCCCGCUCUGCCAUUGUCUCCCGCACGACAGCCCGCCCGCGCUCGCUUUCCAUGACAAAGCUUUAGGGCGAAAUGAAUCGAGGGCCGAAGUCCGCCUUUGUCCGCCCUAAACAAACUCUCCCGCGGCCCCCCCCCCUCCUCCCCCCCGGCGGCAGCGCGGGGCCCUCCGGCGGCGGCGGGGCGGGGGGCAGCGCCGGGAGCCGCGGGGAGCCCCUCCUUCCCUCCCUUCCCCGCGAGGCGGGGGCCGUGCGGCGCGGGGCGGACUCGGUGCUGCCGGGGGCUUUCCCCGCACGGCCGCCGCCGCCGCCCCGCCUCAGGGCCGGCGCUCUCCCGCCCCGCCCGCCCCCGCGGCUCCCGGCGCGGAGGGGCUUCCCCUCGCCCUGCGGAGCCGCCGCGGCCCCGCGCUUCCCCUCCGCCCGUUCCGUUUCGUUCCGCGCCCCGCCCCGCCAAGGGUUAAGCCGCAGGGCCGGCCCGGCGAUGGCAGCCCUGUCAGACGGGAAACACCCGGCUGCCCCGACAGGGCCGUGGAGCGCGGCGGCGGCGGGGUGUGUGUGCGGGGGGGGGGGGAGGAGGUGCGCGGGGGGUGAGAUCCCCGCGCGGGUGAGGCGCGCCCGGCCCGGAGCUCCGGGCGUGGAGCCCGCUGACAGCGCGGCCGAGCCCCGCCGCCUCCCCGGGACGCGGCUCCGCGCCGCCCGAGCCCUCUCCCCUCCGCCCCGGGUCCUUAACCGAGCGGACGAGGCGGGAGGUGCGGGACGAGGCCCGGCCCGACCGCUCCCGGCCGGCGGAGCGGCCCCGUAGCCGGACUCGGGCGGCCGGCGGCACGGUCCGCGCUCCGCUCCGCGCACCCCGCGGCGCCCGCCCCGAGGAAAAGAAGCACGACGCCCCCCCCCCCCCCAACCCACCCCAAUGACACCGGAGCCCCGGGGAGGAAGGGGGGUGGGGGGGGGGCUUUGUGCGGGGAAUUGAAGGAAAAUUUACAAAACAAAACAAAAAAAAAUACAACGCGGAGAGAGAGAGAGAGAGACGGGGGCAGAGUGGCUCCUCCUCCUCCUCUCCAAAAAGGCCUGUUGGAAAACUGCACACGGCGGCGGCUCCAACGGCACCAUCGCCGCGCUCUGCCCUGGAGAGAAAAGGAGGCGAAAGGCACCGAGCGAGAGGGGGGGGACCGCGGCGAAAGGGGGGAAAAGGCCCGAUCUCUUUGUGUUACCUGCCGUGAAACCAGUCCUUGCAGGCAUCGCAUUCAAUCAUGAAGCGGGUUACGUCGUAGGGCAGCCUACAGAUGCAAUAGACGGGCACCGUCGCCAUGUUAGCUCCCUUCAAAACAACACCGGACUCGCGGAGAGGCGAGCGGGGCUGGCGGCGGCUCCUGCCGCUCGGUAGCUUUGGCGGCUGCUCCUUCCGAAACGCGAGCGAAUUUGCGAUGUCGAGAGACGGAGCGGGGAGGGGGAAAGGGGGGGGGAAAGAAGGGGGGAAAAAAAAAAAUCAGAUAAUGCAAUUACGGCUCCUCAAGGGCGAGCGAGCAAUGUCAGAAAAAUAAGAAAGGGCUUCGCAAAGUUUGGCUGCAUGGUUCCUCCGGCUCCGCGAGCGCCGACCGGACCGGGGCUUUUUUGUUGUUGUUGUUGUUAAAUGAUUAUUAUUCAAAAUGUUUGGCGAAAUGCAUUAUAUUGCAUGCCCCCUGGUGACAGUACAGUACCGAGGCUUUUCAUAAACACUCCGAAAUGUAGCCCUUUCCUUGUAAUGUCCUUACGUCAGCUUGCAACAUUGCAAUAUUUCCUCUGCCGGGGCUGGGGCUGGGGCGGGCGGCGGCGGAGGGGGAGGCGAAGCGAGGCGAGGCGAGGCGGCAGCUCCGCGCUCGGCGCCGGGGGCAGCGGGAGGGAGCCGCGGUUUGGAAGGCACCCCACCACCUCCAUCCGUGCCAGCCCCAUCGCUGUCGCACGCUGGGCUGCUACCCCGGAGCUGCAGAUGGGUGAGCGGCAGUGGCGAAGGCAGAAGAGGAACCCUUGAGUUUGAGCUGAGAUUGAGAACACAGAACUUCUCCCCCUCCCAUUGCACAGAGUCCAAAGAGCCCUCUGGGUGGUUUUGGAAGGCAUGCUUCAGGGCAUUCUGCUGGGACACAUCUGAGCAUCUUCAACAGCCGCUGACACAUGUCCCUUGCAAGUACGAGAACGUCACGUAAAGUAAUCACAAGGUGUCCCAGCUGAUGUGCAAGUGCCAGUUCCGACAGGUUUGGUGUCUUGAAUCCCUCUCAUUUUCAGAGGGAGGAUAAAAUCUAUCUGUCUUAAAGCAAGAAGAGAAAAACGGGCAUUUCUUGGUGUUUUUUCAGCAGUCUGCCAAAUCAGAAAUCACCCUGUAGCGGACAAAGGAAAUUCAAGGGCCCAAAUAACUUCAGGUUUCGCAAUGUCGAGAGACAGAGCAGAGAUGGGGGGAGGUGGAAAAAAACAGAUAAAGCAGUGCCAGAAAAAUAAGACGGGGCUUCCCAAAGUUUGGCUGCAUGGUUCCUCGGGCUCUGUGAGAGAGAAAGCCACUAUUGAUACAGGCAGAACCUGCCUAGGUCGACUGAAGAGAGACUGUCAAAACUGCUCGCCUUGCCCCCUGGAUUGAUGUGCCACAGAAGUGACUUUCAGGCAGCGCUCAUGAUGAACUACAUGUGAACUAGUGCUGGGAAUGGCAUUCCUGGGCCCACCAUGAAUGUUUACGAGUGAAACUGAAUUUCUGGCAUAGCUCAAGGUGUGGUAACACAGGACUGAGAUUAUAGGCCUACAUCAUGACUCAGUUGUUUUGAAUGACAUCUUGAGGCACACAAAAUGUCUGUUUUCCUCAGUGCUGAGUGGCAAAAGUAUAUACCUGUGAAAAACCUAGACCCCAUUUCAGCCUGAAUUCAACUACUGAGAUUUUAAUUACUCAGUGUUUCAACCAGAAAAGCAGAAGAACAAGUCUAGGGUGUUACGUGGGCUCACAUUGCACCGGGGGAGGUUCAGGUUGGAUGUUAGGAAAAACACUGCAAGAGUGGCUUGUGCUGAAUGGGCUGCGUCACCUGCAGGUGCUCAAGAAACAUGGAGACACGGCGCUGAAGAAUGUGGUUAGUGGGCAGUACUGGUGGUAGAUGGAUGGUUGAACUGGAUGAUUGUAGAGGUCUUUUCCAACCGUAACGAUCCUUUGAGUCUCUGAUAAUGCAGGAUGAGGAGACGAGGCCCAGACAACCACUGCAUGAGCUGUGAGCACCUUUGUAGUCCUCUCCUCACUGCCACACCUGUUGGAACCUUUGCAGGAGAGGUUUAAACGUGUUCGCUGAUUUUCAAUCAUGUGCUCUUGCAGUGGUUGUCUUUGCUACCACUUCUUGAGCUUUCCAGAUGUUCUUCUUAUCACUUUGAAGCAUUCUUCCUAUAUAUUUCCUCUACAGCAAGUGGUGCAUAAGCUUAUUUCUACUUACGGUGCUAUGUGGCUAUACACAUUGUCCCCAGAGUUAUUUCCGGACUAGUAAAGGUAAACCAAGUUAUCUUUUUUUUUCCCUUUGACCAUAUCUGCUCUUUAAAAAAAUGUUUACAAAGAAGCCGUCCAUGAAACCAACCUUGAAACAACAGGGAUCACUGGGCUUCAGCAGGAGGGGAGCUUGUGGGGACUGCAUGCCUCUUCCAGAGUUCCCCAUCUGACACCAGAUCCUAUGACACUGAUCGGUCAGAUCUCGCAGAACACCGUACUGUGCUGUCUUGGUUUCUGAACCAAGGCAAGGAACUGAACAAUUGAAACUGCAAAAGGGGGCUGGGAUAAAAGGGCCUUUCAUAUAGCAAAUUAGCUGAAAGGUUUAGUUAAAGAAUGGACUUUGGAACAGCUAACACAGAUCGCAUUUAUCACUCCAUACCUGCGCUUUCCCACUUAAACACUCUUCUUUUGCUUCAUUUCAGCACACAGUCUCACACACACAGAACCUUGACAUGAGGAAGCAACUUUAUUGGACAUCAGCAUCGUUCUGACAGCAGUGCUCUGUCUUCAGCGUGGGUCACCACAGGCUGGCAGGCACCAGGGCCCAAGGAAGGGCUGCGGUGAAGACUUGAAUCUCCUCCUUCAUGUUGGAGUUCUUUCACCCGGGCUUACAAGCUGCAUGACCCAACUGAUCCAGAACGACAGCGCACAGCAUUCUGAGCUAAUACGGCUCCUGAAAGCAGCAAGGAGCUGUUUGUCACCAGUAAACCAGAAGUUUGCAAAGAGAGUUUUGGAAUGUUUGUCACUUUUCUGUUUCGAUUCGCUGGCAAUUUGCUUCUGUGGUAAAGCAGAAGGUAGCACCUUAAAUAAAUUGAUCUGGAUGAGGGAAUUUGAUCUGGAUGAGAGGAUUGAGUGCAUCCUCAGUAAGUUGGCAGAUGACACCAGGUUGGUGUAAGUGUUGAUCUGCCUGAGGGCAAGAAAGCCCGGGACAGAAUGCAUCGCUGGGCUGGGGCCAAUGGGAUGAAGUUCAACAAGAACAAGUGCUGGGUCCUGCAUUUGGCCACAACUCCAGGCAAUGCUACAGGCUUGGGGCAGUGGCUGUCAGGCUGACCCAGCACUGGGCUCUCACUGUGUUGGGGCCAGUCCCCUCCUCCCUCAUAGUCAGGCAGUUGGAGCUGAGAGGAAAGGCCUCGGCUGCUUCAGAGGGCUGUGCCAUAGGCUGGGCCAGGUGCAGCAGUACGCUGCAGCUCCAGCACAGUGCUCUGUCGCAGGACCUGACACCAAUGCAGCCCUGCCUGGGGCAUGGAUAGCAAAAUGCUGUCUGUAGGGAAGCUGGCAGGUCUGACAAUCAGUGUCUUUAUUCCUAUCAGAUUCCACUCCGGAAAUAGCAAGGCUCACUUCUUAUAGGGCAGGUUGGUGUGCGUAAGGAAUAACAAACCAUCCACUCUUUGGCACCUGUUCCAGAAGCUGCAUGCACAGGGUGAUGGCAAGGAGCUGGAUUCAGCAGCUUGGAUGUGGUGGGGAUGGGACCUGGAGCAGCAGCAUCACACCCUCCAAUUACAAAAGUGACCCUUAAGGGGCACAGCUCCCAGGAGCACAGUGAACAGUGUGUGUGGCAUGUCAGCUUGCAUGGCAGUUCCUGCACGCAGGGUGAGCUGGGGGGCAGAGCAUCCCUCCCUACUUGGGAGACUGGCUUACCCAGCGACUGCCUCCUGGAGAAUACAUCUAGCCAUGGCUUCCAUGAGGCAAAAAGCUCUCUCCAAAACGAAUGCAGUGACCCAGAUCGAGUGCCUGCCCAAAAAUGUGGCUGUCCAGAUUUCUGGCCGCACGGAGUGCCCGAG
rnacentral:lncRNA from 1 species